rnacentral:misc_RNA from 1 species
ACAUGCACGAGCGCCAGAGGACUCAGGAGAGUCAUCGUGCCGCCGUCACCGCUGCCAGUGGUCCUGCAUCCUUUUUGCAUGCGCACAACGCACCGCAUACUCCUCGGCGCCCAGCCGCCACCGCCGCGCAGCUACGCCCUUGACCUGGAGUACGUCAAGUUCAACGGUAACUCGUAUGUGCGUUCACUGGCCUUGGUGCCAUUUACGCGGGCAGAGCUGCCAUCGCGGCGCCCGCCCCAAGCGAGCGAGGCCCAUGCCCGGGCAUGCAGUCCAAAUAGCAGCCGAGUGCAGUUGCCGCCCCACACGUUGACCGAACUUGGGGGUGCCCCGACGGUGUUGGAGUUGAACCCGAGGGAGGUGAUGCGGUUGGCGGAGCCGCUACCGUGCGGCCACCUUCUUCUGCCAAAAAUUCAAAAGGCUCUCGUGCAAGGAGCGGCCCUGGAGGAGCUGCGGGCCCCACUUGAGGCGGAGGCGCGCGGCGCCAUGGCGUCUUUUCUCGGUCCUCGCCGAGCUCUGCGGAAAGAGGGGAAGAAGGCGACGAGAGAGGAAAACGAUCUUUGGGCGCUUGCGGCGCUCCGCCACGGCGAGUCGUCAGGAGGUGAAACCGACGCCGCGGCAGAUUUCGUGGACGAGGCGAACGCCUUUCCAGUUUUGGAGAGAGAAGGUGCGUCUUCAUUGCCGGCAGCCGACCCCACCACAGUGGCUCAGACACUGGUGGUGAGGGAGUUGCAGAUACGACUGAGCACCGUGCAGUUCUUCAAGGGGCUGGACCCGUUCGGGAUCCCGAACAUCCACCGGUUCAACCGCGAGGCACUCGAGCUGCUCUAUGCUGCGCCGGUGGAGUCACCGGACUUUGCCGCGGCGUCGCAGCACAUUGGCGGCUUGCGUGCCUACAGCAAAGGCAGGCAAGGCUACAAGUCGCUCGCGUACCUCUCUCGCCACCACCCACAGCUCCUGCAGGCCCUCCUACGCCGCAGCUUUGAGAGGCCUUCUGCGUGGUACAGCUGGCUCGCUGACUGCGCGUCGUCUGUCGAGGCAAACUUGAUUGAGGUGCGCAACGCACACCGCGACGGCACUCACGCCAGUGCGUGGCGUGACGUUGCCCGCUCAACUGGCGGCGCAGCGGUCGACGCCGAUCGCGUUCAGGCAGCGUCUGCCCUGGUGCUGGCGUCCUCGUCUCUUAACUUCCAGGAGAGCCUUACGAUGCAAGAUCUGGCCAAGCAGAUCAAUCUGCUGUGGCGCGGUCUCGUGCAUGCGCCUGAAAGCCCCUACAGCGGAGGCGAGGGCGCGUCGCUGUGCUCUCGUGCGAAGGUGUACGUUUACGGCAGCAGCGACGCCUCCGUCCUUCACCGCACGCUGGGACUGGCGUUCACUGGGACACCCCUACCGUGCCAUCUCUCAGAGCGAGGUCGCCGGGCAGGCUCUCGCUAUGCCGGGUCGAAGCAGCUACCUGAUGUGGCUGCUGCUGCCCACGCCGCUGCGUUGAGCUCUGCGCACCGGACACCACCCCGGCCGCUUCGGCUGCUGAGCUCGCCCCUGGAGGCGGUGAUAGUGGAUGCCACCCGACACCCUCUCUUCACGGCGGCCGGCUUCGCCCCUUCGCCCAAGCAGCCGCCAUCGCUGAUGACGGCACUGGAGAAAGCUGCAAACAGUGACGCGACGGCAGCGGAGCUUUUGUCGGCGCCGCAGUGGCACGAUCCGCUGUGGGAUGCCCAGGCGCUUGCGUGCGUCUGUGCCUGUGCUGGCAUGGCGCGCACUCCUGACGAAGGGGAAAAGGGUAGGAAAGCGCAGCACACGUGAGACACUGUGCACUGUGCACUGUGCGUGUGUGUGCGUGCGUGACUGCGUCUCCACGGACUGCGGACGCCUAAGCCCCGACCCCCCUCCGCUGAGAAAAGCACUGCAAGCUCAGCGAGAUAGACAGCGCGCCAAGCAGCAAAGGGGGAGGGGGGAGAGCAUUACACCCACACUUGGCAGGCGGGCAAGCGGCAUGGUGUGAUGUAUCAGAUUCCUGAAGGCCUUGCAGCUCUGUUCAGGGACGGUUGAACAAGAGAGACCGCAGCAUUCACCUUCAACGUGCCCCCUCCUCUACUGCCGCUGCGGCAGCGCUGUCUCCGCCCAGCCAGUUCACCCGAGUCCAUCGACGGUAGCACCGACCACUCACCGUGAGAGUCCUUUUCGCCUUCUUUUUUUUCGAGGACACUGGCCCGCUUUCACGUCUCUCCGUUGCCCCAGCCCACGGAGCAGAGCUGUUCGCUUGUGCAGUCUUGAGUGGCGAGUUGCCCCUCCAGGCAAGACGGAGAGGCGUCUUUG